GAUGAACGCUGGCGGCGUGCCUAACACAUGCAAGUCGAACGAAGCUUGACGGAUGAUUUCUUCGGAAUGAAACCAGAUAUGACUUAGUGGCGGACGGGGGAGUAACACGUGAGCAACCUGCCUUUCAGAGGGGGAUAACGGCUGGAAACGGUCGCUAAUACCGCAUGAUGUGUUCGGAUGGCAUCAUCUGAACAUCAAAGAUUUAUCGCUGAAAGAUGGGCUCGCGUCUGAUUAGAUAGUUGGUGGGGUAACGGCCUACCAAGUCUACGAUCAGUAGCCGGACUGAGAGGUUGAACGGCCACAUUGGGACUGAGAUACGGCCCAGACUCCUACGGGAGGCAGCAGUGGGGAAUAUUGCACAAUGGGGGAAACCCUGAUGCAGCAACGCCGCGUGAAGGAUGACGGUUUUCGGAUUGUAAACUUCUUUUCUUAGUGACGAAGACAGUGACGGUAGCUAAGGAAUAAGCAUCGGCUAACUACGUG
rnacentral:rRNA from 1 species